rnacentral:rRNA from 1 species
AGCGAACGCUGGCGGCAGGCCUAACACAUGCAAGUCGAACGCCCCGCAAGGGGAGUGGCAGACGGGUGAGUAACGCGUGGGAACAUACCCUUUCCUGCGGAAUAGCUCCGGGAAACUGGAAUUAAUACCGCAUACGCCCUACGGGGGAAAGAUUUAUCGGGGAAGGAUUGGCCCGCGUUGGAUUAGCUAGGUGGUGGGGUAAAGGCCUACCAAGGCGACGAUCCAUAGCUGGUCUGAGAGGAUGAUCAGCCACAUUGGGACUGAGACACGGCCCAAACUCCUACGGGAGGCAGCAGUGGGGAAUAUUGGACAAUGGGCGCAAGCCUGAUCCAGCCAUGCCGCGUGAGUGAUGAAGGCCUUAGGGUUGUAAAGCUCUUUCACCGGAGAAGAUAAUGACGGUAUCCGGAGAAGAAGCCCCGGCUAACUUCGUGCCAGCCGCCGCAGUAAGAC